rnacentral:rRNA from 1 species
GGUGAACCUGCGGAAGGAUCAUUACAGAAUUUUGAGAGGGGUUGUAGCUGGCCGGAAGGCAUGUGCACGCCUCGAUCAUCAUCCAUCUCACACCUGUGCACAUACUGUAGGUCGGUUUGUGGGGUGAAGUCUUCAUUGAUUUCGCUCUGUGGGCCUUCCUAUGUUUUAUUACAAACUACUAGUUUCAAGAAUGUCUAUUGCGUGUAACGCAUUUAUAUACAACUUUCAGCAACGGAUCUCUUGGCUCUCGCAUCGAUGAAGAACGCAGCGAAAUGCGAUAAGUAAUGUGAAUUGCAGAAUUCAGUGAAUCAUCGAAUCUUUGAACGCACCUUGCGCUCCUUGGUAUUCCGAGGAGCAUGCCUGUUUGAGUGUCAUGGAAUUCUCAACUUCAUUUGCUUUUGUGAAYGAAGCUUGGAYUUGGAGGUUGUUGCUGGCCAUAUGGAUCGGCUCCUCUUGAAUAUAUUAGCUCGAACCUUUGUGGAUCAGCUUCGGUGUGAUAAUUGUCUACGCCGUUCUGUAAAGCAUAGCUAUAGGUUUCGGCUUCUAAUAGUCCUUCGCUGGACAAUAUCUUUGACCUUUGACCUCAAAUCAGGUAGGAUUACCCGCUGAACUUAAGCAUAUCAAUA